AUGCAAAUGAACUUCUUGCUCGGGACGGUUAAGGGGAGAAGGUCCAAGAGACGGAGGUGCCCAGCGGCCAACCUCACCGAUGACCUCGUCGUUGAGAUCCUCUCUCGCCUCCCUGCCAGAUCGGUCUGCCGCUUCAAGUGCGUGUCCACAACAUGGCGGGACCUCAUCUCGCACCCGGUGAACCGUACGAAGCUUCCCCAGACCCUGGCUGGCUUCUUCACGAAGCACGAUGGUGAAACUGUGCCGUGGUCAGUUCCCUGCUUCACCAACGUCUCUGGCAGAGGCGUCCCAUUGCCAUUGGUCUCCCCUUCGCUUGAUUUCCUGCCUGUCCACAAACGCAUUUUUCUCUUGGACAGCUGCAAUGGCCUUCUUCUCUUGGACAGCGGCGGUGGUGAUGCCAGCGAGAGCGCCGAGUCCCGAGGCUCGAGGCCCGUCUGGAGCUUGGUGCUCCGGCAAGUUCGGCUGGGAACGAUGGAGAGUCGAAACUCCGCGGCGAGAUGA
rnacentral:rRNA from 1 species